UACGUAGGCAGCAAGCGUUGUUCGGAAUUACUGGGCGUAAAGAGUGUGUAGGCGGUGCUCUAAGUUUGGUGUGAAAUCUCCCGGCUCAACCGGGAGGCUGCAUCGAAUACUGGAAUGCUAGAGGGUGGGAGAGGUAAGCGGAAUUCCUGGUGUAGCGGUGAAAUGCUUAGAUAUGACACAGAACACCGAUUGCGAAGGCAGCUCACUAAGCCACAACUGACGCUGAUGCACGAAAGCGUGGGGAGCAAACAGG
rnacentral:rRNA from 1 species